rnacentral:tRNA from 1 species
GGGGAUUUAGCUCAGUGGUAGAGCGCUUGCCUAGCAAGCACAAGGCCCUGGGUUCGGUCCCCCCAGCUCCA